GAUGAACGCUGGCGGCGUGCCUAAUACAUGCAAGUCGAGCGAACGGACGAGAAGCUUGCUUCUCUGAUGUUAGCGGCGGACGGGUGAGUAACACGUGGAUAACCUACCUAUAAGACUGGGAUAACUUCGGGAAACCGGAGCUAAUACCGGAUAAUACUUUGAACCGCAUGGUUCAAAAGUGAAAGACGGUCUUGCUGUCACUUAUAGAUGGAUCCGCGCUGCAUUAGCUAGUUGGUAAGGUAACGGCUUACCAAGGCAACGAUGCAUAGCCGACCUGAGAGGGUGAUCGGCCACACUGGAACUGAGACACGGUCCAGACUCCUACGGGAGGCAGCAGUGGGGAAUCUUCCGCAAUGGGCGAAAGCCUGACGGAGCAACGCCGCGUGAGUGAUGAAGGUCUUCGGAUCGUAAAGCUCUGUUGUUAGGGAAGAACAUAAGUGUAAGUAACUGUGCACAUCUUGACGGUACCUAAUCAGAAAGCCACGGCUAACUACGUG
rnacentral:rRNA from 1 species